GCCUUGGUAGCUCAAAUGGUAGAGCAGUGGACUGAAAAUCCACGUGUAGCAGGUUCGAUACCCGCCCAAGGCA
rnacentral:tRNA from 1 species